rnacentral:rRNA from 1 species
GACGAACGCUGGCGGCGUGCCUAAUACAUGCAAGUCGAGCGAGCUUGCCUAGAUGAAUUUGGUGCUUGCACCAAAUGAAACUAGGUACAAGCGAGCGGCGGACGGGUGAGUAACACGUGGGUAACCUGCCCAAGAGACUGGGAUAACACCUGGAAACAGAUGCUAAUACCGGAUAACAACACUAGACGCAUGUCUAGAGUUUAAAAGAUGGUUCUGCUAUCACUCUUGGAUGGACCUGCGGUGCAUUAGCUAGUUGGUAAGGUAACGGCUUACCAAGGCAAUGAUGCAUAGCCGAGUUGAGAGACUGAUCGGCCACAUUGGGACUGAGACACGGCCCAAACUCCUACGGGAGGCAGCAGUAGGGAAUCUUCCACAAUGGACGCAAGUCUGAUGGAGCAACGCCGCGUGAGUGAAGAAGGGUUUCGGCUCGUAAAGCUCUGUUGGUAGUGAAGAAAGAUAGAGGUAGUAACUGGCCUUUAUUUGACGGUAAUUACUUAGAAAGUCACGGCUAACUACGUGCCAGCAGCCGCGGUAAUACGUAGGUGGCAAGCGUUGUCCGGAUUUACUGGGCGUAAAGCGAGUGCAGGCGGUUCAAUAAGUCUGAUGUGAAAGCCUUCGGCUCAACCGGAGAAUUGCAUCAGAAACUGUUGAACUUGAGUGCAGAAGAGGAGAGUGGAGCUCCAUGUGUAGCGGUGGAAUGCGUAGAUAUAUGGAAGAACACCAGUGGCGAAGGCGGCUCUCUGGUCUGCAACUGACGCUGAGGCUCGAAAGCAUGGGUAGCGAACAGG